UGGCUCAGUGGUUAAGAGCACUGGAUGCUUGCUCUUCCAGAGGUCCUGAGUUCAAUUCCCAG
rnacentral:tRNA from 1 species